CAGGGUCUCCUCUCUGCUAGGAGUUGAACACUUGUUGGGACACCCUGGCUGUGGAAAGGAGCUACCCAC
rnacentral:miRNA from 1 species